GACGAACGCUGGCGGCGUGCCUAAUACAUGCAAGUCGAGCGAAGUUUUUCUGGUGCUUGCACUAGAAAAACUUAGCGGCGAACGGGUGAGUAACACGUAAAGAACCUGCCUCAUAGACUGGGACAACUAUUGGAAACGAUAGCUAAUACCGGAUAACAGUAUUUCUCGCAUGAGAGAUAUUUAAAAGUUGGUUAUGCUAACACUAUGAGAUGGCUUUGCGGUGCAUGAGCUAGUUGGUGGGGUAAAGGCCCACCAAGGCGACGAUGCAUAGCCGACCUGAGAGGGUGAUCGGCCACACUGGGACUGAGACACGGCCCAGACUCCUACGGGAGGCAGCAGUAGGGAAUCUUCCGCAAUGGGCGAAAGCCUGACGGAGCAACGCCGCGUGAGUGAAGAAGGAUUUCGGUUCGUAAAGCUCUGUUGUUAGGGAAGAAUGGAUAUGUAGUAACUAUACAUGUAAGAGACGGUACCUAACCAGAAAGCCACGGCUAACUACGUG
rnacentral:rRNA from 1 species